GGCAGACUUGGCAGACACUAGCCAGUCAGGAAGUGUUGGCACACUGUGGUCAUGUGACAGGAAACUGGUACAUUUUGGCAUGCACUGACAACAGAGAGGAACUGCAGACCGCAGAACUAAGGUACUUUCCAGGCAUCGACAAGACUCAGGAGAUUGUGACAUGGUCUGGGGAUGACUUGUGGCCAGUGGGACGGAUAUGGGGCUUCCUGGAGGCGGAGUCUGUCUGCGCUCGACGGCGGGUCAGCGCGCUGUGAGCGGAGCCUGUCCGAGAUUGACGCCGUGUUGUCCCGCCUGAGGUGUGAUCGGUAGAGCAGCGCCGACAGGCUGACAGAGUCGUCU